CCUACGGGAGGCAGCAGUGGGGAAUAUUGGGCAAUGGGCGCAAGCCUGACCCAGCAACGCCGCGUGAAGAAAGAAGGCUUUCGGGUUGUAAACUCCUUUUCUUAGGGACGAAGAUAGUGACGGUACCUCAGGAAUAAGCCACGGCUAACUACGUGCCAGCAGCCGCGGUAAUACGUAGGUGGCAAGCGUUAUCCGGAUUUAUUGGGUGUAAAGGGCGUGUAGGCGGGAAAGCAAGUCAGAUGUGAAAACUCAGGGCUCAACCCUGGGCCUGCAUUUGAAACUGUUGUUCUUGAGUGCUGGAGAGGCAGGCGGAAUUCGGGGGGUAGCGGUGAAAUGCGUAGAUAUACGGAGGAACACCGGUGGCGAAGGCGGAUUGCUGGACAGUAACUGACGCUGAGGCGCGAAAGCGUGGGGAGCAAACAGGAUUAGAUACCCCUGUAGUC
rnacentral:rRNA from 1 species